rnacentral:rRNA from 1 species
CAGCAGCCACGGUAAUACGAAGGGGGCUAGCGUUGCUCGGAAUGACUGGGCGUAAAUGGCGCGUAGGCGGCGGCCAAAGUCAGACGUGAAAUUCCUGGGCUCAACCUGGGGGCUGCGUUUGAUACUUGGUUGCUUGAGUGGGGAAGAGGGUCGUGGAAUUCCCAGUGUAGAGGUGAAAUCCGUAGAUAUUGGGAAGAACACCGGUGGCGAAGGCGGCGACCUGGUCCUUGACUGACGCUGAGGCGCGAAAGCGUGGGGAGCAAACAGGAUUAGAUACCCGCGUAGUCCCUGUCUCUUAUAC